AAUUAGCUUCUGAAACUACAGAAAUGCAACUAACUUACACCAAGUCAUCGGAAGAAACUGGAACAGGAUGGAUUGCACAGUUUAUUGGCGUUUCUUCAGGUGUAAAAGUGAAUUGGUGAACAUUGAGAAAAUAUGGAAAACAAAUGUGAUUCUGUCAUUUUAUUGUUUAAUAAUACAUAAUGCAAUUUAA